UACAGAGGGGGCGAGCGUUGUUCGGAAUUACGUGGGCGUAAAGGCGCGUAGGCGGCCCGCUAAGUCGAACGUGAAACUCCCCAGGCUCAACCUGGGACUGCGUCCGAUACUGGCAGGCUUGAAUCCGGGAGAGGGAUGUGGAAUUCCAGGUGUAGCGGUGAAAUGCGUAGAUAUCUGGAGGAACACCGGUGGCGAAGGCGGCAUCCUGGACCGGCAUUGACGCUGAGGCGCGAAAGCCAGGGGAGCAAAGCGGG
rnacentral:rRNA from 1 species